AUCGCACAAUGGGGGAAACCCUGAUGCAGCGACGCCGCAUGAGUGAAGAAGUAUUUCGGUAUGUAAAGCUCUAUCAGCAGGGAAGAAANNGACGGUACCUGAUUAAGAAGCCCCGGCUAACUACGUGCCAGCAGCCGCGGGAAUACGUAGGGGGCAAGCGUUAUCCGGAUUUACUGGGUGUAAAGGGAGCGUAGACGGCAGCACAAGUCUGGAGUGAAAUGCCGGGGCUUAACCCCGGAACUGCGUUGGAAACUGUGCAGCUAGAGUGCAGGAGAGGUAAGUGGAAUUCCUAGUGUAGCGGUGAAAUGCGGAGAUAUUAGGAGGAACACCAGUGGCGAAGGCGGCUUACUGGACUGUAACUGACGUUGAGGCUCGAAAGCGUGGGGAGCAAACAGG
rnacentral:rRNA from 1 species